AGACGGGGCCCGCACAAGCGGUGAGCAUGUGGUUAAUUCGAAGCAACGCGAAGAACCUUACCAGGUCUUGACAUCCCGAUGCUAUUUCUAGAGAUAGAAAGUUACUUCGGUACAUCGGUGACAGGUGGUGCAUGGUUGUCGUCAGCUCGUGUCGUGAGAUGUUGGGUUAAGUCCCGCAACGAGCGCAACCCCUAUUGUUAGUUGCCAUCAUUCAGUUGGGCACUCUAGCGAGACUGCCGGUAAUAAACCGGAGGAAGGUGGGAUGACGUCAAAUCAUCAUGCCCCUUAUGACCUGGGCUACACACGUGCUACAAUGGUUGGUACAACGAGUUGCGAGUCGGUGACGGCGAGCUAAUCUCUUAAAGCCAAUCUCAGUUCGGAUUGUAGGCUGCAACUCGCCUACAUGAAGUCGGAAUCGCUAGUAAUCGCGGAUCAGCACGCCGCGGUGAAUACGUUCUCGGGCCUU
rnacentral:rRNA from 1 species